rnacentral:tRNA from 4 species
GCGGGUGUAGUUUAGUGGUAAAACUUUAGCCUUCCAAGCUAAUCAUACGGGUUCGAUUCCCGUCACCCGCU